rnacentral:rRNA from 1 species
UUUUUGCAUAUUCAAUAAGCGGAGGAAAAGAAACCAACAGGGAUUGCCUUAGUAGCGGCGAGUGAAGCGGCAAGAGCUCAAAUUUGAAAUCUGGUACCUUCGGUGCCCGAGUUGUAAUUUGAAGAAAGCUAUCUUGGAUUUGGCCUUUGUCUAUGUUCCUUGGAACAGGACGUCACAGAGGGUGAGAAUCCCGUGCGAUGAGGUGUCCAUUUCUAUGUAAGAUGUUUUCGAAGAGUCGAGUUGUUUGGGAAUGCAGCUCUAAGUGGGUGGUAAAUUCCAUCUAAAGCUAAAUAUUGGCGAGAGACCGAUAGCGAACAAGUACAGUGAUGGAAAGAUGAAAAGAACUUUGAAAAGAGAGUGAAAAAGUACGUGAAAUUGUUGAAAGGGAAGGGUAUUAGAUCAGACUUGGUAUUUAGUUAUCAUUACUCCUUGUGGGUGGUGCUCUAGCUUUUUACUGGGCCAGCAUCAGUUUUGGUGACAGGAUAAUAGCAAUUGAAUGUGGCUCUUCGGAGUGUUAUAGCUUUUGUUGAUACUGUCUACUGGGACUGAGGUCUGCGGCUUUGCCUAGGAUGCUGGCGUAAUGAUCCAAUACCGCCCGUCUUG